rnacentral:tRNA from 1 species
GUUAAUAUAGUUUCAAAAAAUAUUAGACUGUGGCUCUAAAGACAGGAGUUAAAAAUCUCCUUAUUAACC